rnacentral:lncRNA from 1 species
GCGUUUGGAGAUUUCAUGGGAUUGGGCAACAUGAGCAACAUUCCUCCUUCUGCAGCAAAUGAUACUAUAGUUUUUGUCUCCUCUCAAAUUCAUGUUGAAACUUAGCCAAAAACCUAAUGGUGCAAAGAGAUGUCAGAUCUCAUUGCCGAGCUUUGGAAAAUUGAGGAAAUCAAGGACGUUCUGCUCAUAGCUAGGCAGAAGGAUGCCAAAUCUGUCAAGAUCAAAAAGAAAAAGGAUAAUAUGAAGUUCAAGUUUCGCUGUAACAGCGUAUAUGCAAAGAAUAGAAACAAAAACAGACCGAGGAAACCAAGAGGAACAAGCCAGUAAGCAGUACCCUUCCAUGGCCUUUGAAUCAGCACCUUCCUCCAGGUUCCUGCUCUGUGUGAGCUAUGAUAUGGAUGUGUAAGCAAAAUAAACCCUUU